rnacentral:ncRNA from 2 species
AACAGAACAGGCGAUGACGUUCGCCUUCGAAAACCACAUUUGUGAUUGAUGACGUCUACUUUUUG